AACGAACGCUGGCGGCAUGCCUAACACAUGCAAGUCGAACGAGACCUUCGGGUCUAGUGGCGCACGGGUGCGUAACGCGUGGGAACCUGCCCUUAGGUUCGGAAUAACUCCCCGAAAGGGGUGCUAAUACCGGAUAAUGUCUUCGGACCAAAGAUUUAUCUCCUUUGGAUGGGCCCGCGUUGGAUUAGCUAGUUGGUAGGGUUAAAGCCUACCAAGGCGACGAUCCAUAGCUGGUCUGAGAGGAUGAUCAGCCACACUGGGACUGAGACACGGCCCAGACUCCUACGGGAGGCAGCAGUGGGGAAUAUUGGACAAUGGGCGAAAGCCUGAUCCAGCAAUGCCGCGUGAGUGAUGAAGGCCUUAGGGUUGUAAAGCUCUUUUACCCGGGAUGAUAAUGACAGUACCGGGAGAAUAAGCUCCGGCUAACUCCGUG
rnacentral:rRNA from 1 species